GAAUAAAGACAAAACACUAUGCUUUUCUCUUUUGUCGAUUAGAAGAACCAAAAGUUGGGAUUGGGGAUUAAAUUGAUAUGGUGAAUCGAAGGCCGAGCAGAACCAGAGGAGUUCGACAGGUGGAUCGGUAAUAUCAGUUCUCGGAACAGUGAAUGAAGGUCGAUCGAAAUCAGAGAAAUCGGAGAACUGCUUCCUCGAGAACCGGUGGACCGAGCUUUAUAGAGUACUGCUUCCUCGAGAACUGACAGAUAGUUCUUUCAUUCCGGUGGACCGAUCUUCGCUCACUGUUCCGAGAACUGCUUCCUCGAGUACCGAUUGGUGAUUCCGGUGAGGGCUAGGGUUACGAAUCGGAAUGACGCAAUGAUAUGAUCGAGCCACUAAUGAGUUUAUAAGGAGCAAAAUAUAUGUUAUUUUGAUCCCUAAAAUCCAGAGUCCUAAACUUCCACACUACUCUCUACUUUUUUUUUGUUUGAAGAAAAUCUCUCUCUUUAGAUUGUGGUAUGAUGGUGAUAUUACUAGAGAAGAACUCGGAUGUUGCAGUCAGAUAGUGUCUUCUUUUACACCUGACAGUACUCUGUAAAUGCAGUGAAGUAGUGUUGCUCAGGAGUAGCCAAGAGAUAUUGUGUGUGUUACUCGUGGAUGUUUCUACUUCUUCAGAAGAUAGAAAUUUAAGGUUAGUGUGUUCGCAUGCUAUCAAUGAUAUACAAGAUGCCUCAGUUGGUCUAGGACUUCAAGUUAUAAGGUUAGUCUUUUAUGGUUCCGCUUUUAAACUUGAUUCUGUCCCCAUGUUCCUAAUCUCUCUCUUACUUUCUGGUGGAGGCUACAAUUUAAGGAGGGCACAUAGUACAAUUUCAUAACAGGGAGCAUCGAGAAAACAACAGUUUUACUCAAAAUCAUUAAAAUCUUGGAUUCUCAAGCUACGCAACCUAUAUGUUCUUUGGGAAGGGAAAAUAUACAAAUGGAAAUGUUUGAGAAAGAAAUACGUGGUGGUCUGUAGCUGAAUAUAUUCCAGUAUAGUGUUAUCCAGUUUCAGAGCAGCACUCUUGGAGUAUGACAAUGGUUCAAGCUCCCAAAAACCGAGUGUCUUUUAUCAGGCAAUUAAAACCGUGUAAAGAUACAUGGCGUAUUGAGGUUAGGAUUCUUCGCUUGUGGAGAAAUUACAACAAAGAUUCCGGAAACACCAUCGAAAUGGUUUUCGUGGAUAAAGAAGGGACAAAAAUUCAUGCUUCAGUUGGUGAACAGCUCAUCAAACAAUUUGAAAGGAAACUAACCGAGGGCGAUGCGAAGGUCGUCCAAUUAUUCAAAUUGUACGAUGCUAAAAGUGAUUAUCGGACAAUCGCGCAUCCGUAAAAAAUUGGCUUCUUUCCAACAACUUUUGUUGGAACAGCUGAUGAAUUUCCGAGUGAAGUUCCGGAGAAGUAUUUUGCGGAUUACAAUGAUAUUGUUGGUGGAAAGCUUGAUAACAGUCGUUUGGUUGAUGUUAUUGGCCAAAUAGUUAACUUCGGAUCUCUUGAAAACAAAGUGAUUAAAGGAAAAGACAAUUUGAGGCUCUUGAUUGAGUUACGUGACCAAAAUAAUGUGAAGAUGAUGUGUACUCUUUGGGGCUGUUAUGCUAAACAAGUAUACAAUUACAGUAUGAUAAACAUGUCCACAAUGAUUAUUUGUGUUAUCAGGUUCUGUUCUAUUAAAGAGUGGAAAGGUGCUUACUCCAUAUCUAGCGGGUAUAAUUCAACCCAUAUUUUGCUCAACCCAACACUGGAUUUUAUCGAGGAGUUCAAAGCAAGUCUCCCUAAUGAUUCACUUGCUCUUACAAACAACGAUAGUAGCCAAUGGUCUGUUGGUACUGCUACAUCUGUUCGUGCUAGGUUUUUUGUUCUUAAUGAGAGGCUAACCAUAAGAGAGAUCAUUGAUAGUACUCUGGUUGGGAAUUUUGUCACUCGGGGCACUAUUGAAAGCAUAGAUGCUGAACGUGGCUGGCAAUAUCUAAGGCAAAUACCAGAACAAAAAAGUAAUGCCAACAACCAAUGUUGAUGCUGAUAACCGUCCCUUGUUCUUCUGCAAUACAUGUGAUAAAGAACACAUUGAGGUCAUAUCCAGACGAUUUCGGUGAGGCAAACUUUCUUUUAUUUGAUACCAAUGCUCAACUGAUUGUGCGUCAUUUUGCCGCUGAACUCUAUGAUGAGAAUGAAGAUCCCGAGUUCUUACCUGAAGCAGUUAGCGACCUUUUUGGCAAGAGAGUCCUUUUUGAGAUUUCAGUUGAUGCUGAUAACGUCAAAGGAAAGAGCUCUCAGUAUGUCGUUCGAUUGGCUACUGAUGACCGUGAAAUGAUUGAGGAAUUUACUGCUUUGCCUCCUAAACCGGUCCUAAUGUUGCAGUCCUCAGAUGAUAUUUCCUCUGGUUCUGGUGGUUUUUUCGGAACUCCUUUGUCUAAAAGAAAAAGCCAAGAAGAUCAAGACAAUAGCCUUGAGGAUCAACACUCUGUCAACAAGAAACAUUCUCAGAAGAAAGUCAAGGGCGAGUGAUCUCUCGGCUUUUUAAAAAGCUUUAUUUCCUAUUGUUAUGGCUUUGUCUGACUUCCGUAUUCUUAUUAUCAUUUCUUGAAUUUGGUCAAAGUACUUUUGAUUUUGGAUUUUUUUAAAAAAAUUUAAACAUUUAUUUGUUCCUCACUAAACAAGAUUGGCUUUCUGUGUUAUUCGUUAUUUUAUUUGGACA